CCAGCUUUGUCUCCUGAACAGCUCGUUCACCAUUUCUUCCUCCGGAGUCGGAAAGGCGCCCUUCUUUGGGCUCUUGAGAAGGUGGUCCGGAAGCUGGCGACCAAGGAACAAGACAAAUUCAUAGGAAAAAUGGAAAAGCAAAAGUUCUGAUGUUUUGCUUUUGAUUUCACCAACUCCAGGUGUUUUCUUUUUAGAAAGAUCCCAGGGAGAUUAACACUUCAAGACAUCUCUUAUCUUGGACAUAUUCUGAUGUCCUCAAAAGAAAAUGUGACUGCAUCCAAAUGCUAUGAUGGCUCCCCAGUUGUGCAUUGUGACAUUGUGCCAACAUCAGAGAUGGAUACUACUGCAGAGUGGAGAGGUUCUGAGAAGCAGAAGCAUGUUUGACAUUAGCUGCAGUGGAACACCACCUCAAAGCCUGUCCUCUUUGAACUCUCCUGCUUGGGUCUCAGCUGCUGCAGCAAGGAAGCCUAGAUAAGGCCAUAUGGAGGAGAACUGAAACCUUUGGGCAACAGCCCCAGCUGAACUUCCAGUUGGCAUCUGCCACCAGCUGUCAGCUUUGGGAGUGAGGUCGUUUGGACCUUUCUUCUGCACAUCACAGAAUGGGAGUCCUUUUCCAGAUGUACUCCAUGUGUGAGGUUUGGAAAAAAACACAUAUUAGUUGAUAAUAUUGCAGUGUGAUGGAAAAAGAAUGGCAAAUAAGAUCUAGCAGAGAAGAAUGCCAAUAGGAUCCCUGUGAGGUGGGCAUUCCAGACAGCAAGAGGGAUGGAUGUUCCAAGAGUGGGCAAGCUUGAGGCGAGCAAAAAAGAUACCUAUUAUGAUGAAGUCAUAGGUAUUGAGCUGGAAAUAAAUAAGGACAGGUGGCUAGGUCCGAAGACUAAAUAGAGAUUUCUUGUGGCAGAAAGAUGAAUACCCAAUACUUGUUAGAGGUGAUUGGUUUAGAAAGGGUUUUACCUUAUCCAGAUACUUGAAGAACCAUUAUACAGGGGGCAAAGAAAAGAAUGCCUAACAACACUAUUACUAAAUUAUACUUGAAUUUAAAAAUAAAGCCUCUUUCAUUCUUAAAAGUACCCAUUUCAAAAGC